CAAACGGUCCUUUUAAGGGCCACCCACGUUCUCUAUAAACGGCUG
rfam:Gasterosteus aculeatus cont1.008695, whole genome shotgun sequence.